rnacentral:rRNA from 1 species
GACGAACGCUGGCGGCGUGCCUAAUACAUGCAAGUCGAGCGCAGGAAACUGACGGAACUCUUCGGAGGGCAGGCAGUGGAAUGAGCGGCGGACGGGUGAGUAACACGUAAGGAACCUGCCUCAAGGAUUGGGAUAACUCCGAGAAAUCGGAGCUAAUACCGGAUAGUUCAUCGGACCGCAUGGUCCGUUGAUGAAAGGCGCUUCGGCGUCACCUUGAGAUGGCCUUGCGGUGCAUUAGCUAGUUGGUGGGGUAACGGCGCACCAAGGCGACGGUGCGUAGCCGACCUGAGAGGGUGAUCGGCCACACUGGGACUGAGACACGGCCCAGACUCCUACGGGAGGCAGCAGUAGGGAAUCUUCCACAAUGGACGAAAGUCUGAUGGAGCAACGCCGCGUGAGUGAUGAAGGUUUUCGGAUCGUAAAACCCUGUUGUAAGGGAAGAACACGUACGAGAGGGAAUGCUCGUACCUUGACGGUACCUUACGAGAAAGCCACGGCUAACUACGUGCCAGCCGCCGCGGUAA